AGCAACUAACGUUAAUCCAGGUGAAUCUGCGGAAGGAUCAUUA
rnacentral:rRNA from 1 species